UUGAAAGAAAGGCGGAGUAUAAACUAAUGGAUAGGUUUUUUCCACUCAUUGGUACAAACUCCAAACUUCUUCCAAAUUCGACCUCAAAUCAGGUAGGACUACCCGCUGAACUUAAGCAUAUCAAUAAGCCGGAGGAAAAGAAACCAACAGGGAUUGCCUUAGUAGCGGCGAGUGAAGCGGCAAAAGCUCAAAUUUGAAAUCUGGCACUUUCAGUGUCCGAGUUGUAAUUUGAAGAAGGUAUCUUUGGGUCUGGCUCUUGUCUAUGUUUCUUGGAACAGAACGUCACAGAGGGUGAGAAUCCCGUGCGAUGAGAUGUCCCAGACCUAUGUAAAGUUCCUUCGAAGAGUCGAGUUGUUUGGGAAUGCAGCUCUAAGUGGGUGGUAAAUUCCAUCUAAAGCUAAAUAUUGGCGAGAGACCGAUAGCGAACAAGUACAGUGAUGGAAAGAUGAAAAGAACUUUGAAAAGAGAGUGAAAAAGUACGUGAAAUUGUUGAAAGGGAAGGGCUUGAGAUCAGACUUGGUAUUUUGUAUGUUACUCUCUCGGGGGUGGCCUCUACAGUUUACCGGGCCAGCAUCAGUUUGAGCGGUAGGAUAAGUGCAAAGAAAUGUGGCACUGCUUCGGUAGUGUGUUAUAGUCUUUGUCGAUACUGCCAGCUUAGACUGAGGACUGCGGCUUCGGCCUAGGAUGUUGGCAUAAUGAUCUUAAGUCGCCCGUCUUGAAACACGGACCAAGGAGUCUAACGUCUAUGCGAGUGUUUGGGUGUAAAACCCGUACGCGUAAUGAAAGUGAACGUAGGUAGGACCUCCUUUAGGAGUGCACUAUCGACCGAUCCUGAUGUCUUCGGAUGGAUUUGAGUAAG
rnacentral:rRNA from 1 species